rnacentral:rRNA from 1 species
AGCUGCAACCCUUACCNACUAGUUUGCCAGCAUUUAGUUGGGCACUCUUAGCGGAACUGCCGGUGAUAAACCGGAGGAAGGUGGGGAUGACGUCAAGUCAUCAUGGCCUCUAUGUCCAGGGCUACACACGUGCUACAAUGGCCGGUACUAAACCGCUGCGAACUCGCGAGAGGGAGCCAAUCGGAAAAAGCCGGUCUCAGUUCGGAUUGGAGUCUGCAACUCGACUCCAUGAAGUUGGAAUCGCUAGUAAUCGCGGAUCAGCACGCCGCGGUGAAUACGUUCCCGGGUCUCGUACACACCGCCCGUCACAUCACGAAAGUGGGCUGUACUAGAAGUGGCCGCGCUAACCGCAAGGGGGCAGGUCACGACGGUAUGGUUCAUGAUUGGGGUGAAGUCGUAACAAGGUAACCGU